rnacentral:rRNA from 1 species
CUACGGGCGGCAGCAGUGAGGAAUAUUGCACAAUGGGGGGAACCCUGAUGCAGCAACGCCGCGUGGAGGAAGACGCAUUUCGGUGUGUAAACUCCUUUUAUAUGUCAAGAAAAUGACGGUAGCAUAUGAAUAAGGACCGGCUAACUCCGUGCCAGCAGCCGCGGUAAUACGGAGGGUGCAAGCGUUACUCGGAAUCACUGGGCGUAAAGGACGCGUAGGCGGGUUGGAAAGUCAGGUGUGAAAUCCUACAGCUUAACUGUAGAACUGCACUUGAAACUUCUAAUCUAGAGUAUGGGAGGGGGAGAUGGAAUUAGUGGUGUAGGGGUAAAAUCCGUAGAUAUCACUAGGAAUACCUAAAGCGAAGGCGAUCUCCUGGAACAUUACUGACGCUAAGGCGUGAAAGCGUGGGGAGCAAACAGGAUUAGAUACCCCGGUAGUC